ensembl:lncRNA
UCCAAGGCUGCUUGCUAUAUCCAGCUAAGCAAAGAAGUGAAACAUAGCUUCAGCAACCUACUACACAAUGCAAACAUUUCACAUCUGUGAAGAGCAAGAAAUUUAAAAGUUUAAAGAAAAUUUGCAAAGAUAAAAGGGAGAGCAGUUUGCAGGAGAUCCACUUACUGUAAAUACGCCUGCAGACGGUGUCAGCCAAGUGAUUGCCAGCUGCGGUCACAAGUGUGGCUGAACUAUUGCUAUACAUCUCAACAGACUUAGAGCAAAUAGGAGUUGAAAAGAAGACUUAACUCAAGUGACUGUGGGACUAGAAAGCCUUGGGCUAGUUCAUUAUCAAUAUCAGAGCUUAAAGGCUAUUGACAAGUCAAUUACUGUAAAAUGACAAGCAAGAAAGAACUUUAGCCAGGUUCCAGACAUUCCUUUGGCCGAAGAGGAGCCUGAGCCAGCACCUCCCCCACAUCCAACCAAGGAAAGACCCGAUCCAUACUCCAAUACUUACAGACG